UAAACUAGGGAUUAGAUAACCUAUUAUUAAAAAUGUAAAUUUUUUUACUUAAUUAGUAUUAGUUAUGUUCUUGAAAAUUAAAAAAUUUGGCGGUAUUUUAGUCUUUUCAGAGGAACCUGUUCUAUAAUCGAUAGUCCACGAUUAGAUGCACUUUAUUUAUUAGUUUAUAUAUCGUCGUAGUUUAAAUAUUUUAAUAGAAUUAUAAAUAUUUAAAAUUUUUUAUUAAAAAAUAAAUCAGAUCAAGGUGUAGUUUAUAAUAAAGAAGAAAUGGGUUACAAUAAAUUUAUUUUAAAAUAAUUUUUGUUAAAAAAAUUUGAAUUUGGAUUUGAGAGUAAUUUUUUAGAUUUUUUUAAGAUGAUUAAAGCUCUAAAAUAUGUACAUAUCGCCCGUCGCUUUCAUUUUAAAAUGAAAUAAGUCGUAAACAUAGU
rnacentral:rRNA from 1 species